rnacentral:tRNA from 1 species
AGAGAAUUUUGAUUUCUCAGUUAUAGGUUCAAGUCCUAU